CAGCCCUCUCCGCAUCUAUCCUGAUGUGUACAUUGGAUUGCGACACCGACAUAUUGUUUAAUAUUCUCAUGGAAGAUUAGCCCUGAGCUAACAUCUGCACUCAUCUUCCUCUACUUUGUAUGUGGGACGCCUGCCACAGCAUGGCUUGAUAAGUGGUGCAUGGGUCAGCACUGGGAUCUGAACUGGUGAACCCCAGGCCACUGAAGUGAAAUGUACGAACUUAACUGCUGCACCACCAGGCUGGCGGCUGGAUCGUGCUUGUUAAUUCAUUUAUUUACUCUGUGUCUUUUGAUUGAAGAACCUAAUCCUCUACAUUUAAAGUAAUGAUUCAUUACUAAACACUUAGUUUGCUCAUUUUGCUUAUGUUUUCUGUCUGUUUUUUAUUUCUUUUGUCCCUCUUUUCUUGUCUUGUUUUCUUCUUUUGUGAUUUGUUGAUGUUUUGUAGUGGUAUUCUUUGAUUCUUUACUCUUUAUCUUUUUAUAUCUACUAGAGGUUUCUUCUUUGUGGUUACCAUGAGAGUUACAUAAAACAUCUCAUAACAGUCUAUUUUAAGCUGAUAGCAACUUAACUUCAAUUGCAUACAAAAAUUUUACACUUUUACUCCCUCCUCCACAUUUUAUGCUAUUGAUGUCAUGCUUAACAUAUUUUUAUAUUGUGUAUCCAUUAACAAAUUAUUGUAGCUAUAGUUAUUCUAAAUGCUUUUGUCUUUUAACUUUCGUACUAGAGUUAAAAGUGAUUUACGCACCACAGUACAGUAUUAGGGUAUUCUGAGUUUGACUAUAUAGUUACCUUUACUGUGAGUGAGUUUUAUACUUUCAUAUGUCUUCAGGUUGUUACUUAGUGUCCUUCUAUUUCAGCUUGAAGAACUUCCUUUAGCAGUUUUAUAAGGCACGUCUAGUGGUGAUGCUUUUGUUUGAAUGAGAAUACCUUUAUCUCUUUAUUUCUGGAGUACAGCUCUGCAAUGUAUAAUAUUCUCUUUUUUUCUUUGAGCACUUAGUCCAGAUCACUUCUGACUUGCAAAAUUGCUGAUGAGAAGUACACUGAUAGCCUUAUGGAGGUUCCCUUGUAUGUGAUGAGUUCUUUUCUCUUGCUGCUUUCAAAAUUCUGUCUUUGAGUUUUGAGAGUUUAUUUAUAAUUUUUCUCAGGAUAAUCUUCUUUGAGUUGAUCUUGUUUGAGGUCCUUUAAGUUUCAUGUAUCCUGAUGUUCAUAUCUUUUCCACGGUUUGAGAAGUCUUUAGCCCUUAUUUUUUUUAGUAAGCUUUCUGCUCCUUUCUCUGUCUCUUCUCCUUAGACUCACAUAAUGCUUCAUGGUGUCCUAUAUGUUUUCUUCAUUCUUUUUCAUUUUUUUUCUUUUCAUUCUUCUCUUCUAACUGGC
rnacentral:lncRNA from 1 species